rnacentral:lncRNA from 1 species
GCCGACCUAAAUAUACCCCCUAAUGAAAAUAAUGACCUUGUCCUCAAGGUCAGAGAUUAGCCACAACUCUGGAAAUCUACUUUUGAUAUAUCCCUAAUCUUCCCAAGUUGCAUCCUGAGCCUUCAAAUUAGCCCAGUGAACCAAUACCUUGACACCCACAUCAUUAUUCACCUUCAUCAUCUUUCAUUGAAAGAUUACUACUGGUUAGACUAAGAUACAUCCCUCCUCAUCGCAGAUUCAGAGGUUGUGGCUAUGGAAUGGUAUCAGGACCUACGCACUUUUUUAGCUGAGAAACGUGGAACAUAGGGUGGAUCUGAGAUCCUGGUGGCAACUCCAACCAGUAAGCCAUUGAUCCUUUGUAGGGACCAUAAAAUUUGGCACUUAACUUAAAGUUUUUCCUUACUGCGAUUGAAGCUUGCCUUUAAGGUUGAAGCUUUAGUUUAACCCAAUCGCCCACCUCCAAACUCCAUCAGAUCUUUUUUUAUUGGCAUAAAACUUCAUUCUUGAUUGGGCUUGAGUGAGCUUGUCCUUAAGAAUUUGUAACAUCUAUUGUCUUUGUGCUAUCCAAGUACCCGCCUGUGUCUAAGCUGGUUAGGGUAGUGACCCCAAGAGAAUUUGAGGUGGUGCAAACCCAUACAAUGCCUAAAAAUGAGUAGUCUUUAAGGAGCUGUGAUGGUUGGUGUUGCACCACCAUUCUGCCAAGGGUAACCAUUUAACCCAUUGCUUAGGAUUAGUAAACACCAUAGCCCAUAGGUUAGCUUCCAAGCAUCUGUUUAACCUUUAUGUUUGUCCAUCUGUUUGAGGGUCGUAAGAGGUGGACAUACUCAGUUUGACCCCAUGGACUUGAAUAGUCUCUCCAAAACUGGCUAGUGAACACACUAUCCCUACCAGAAAUAAUCGUCUUAGGAAACCCAUGUAGUUUGUAAAUGUCUCUCAAGAAUAAGUCAGCCACAUCUUGUGCUAUGAAGGGAUGUUUGAGAGCUAGGAAAUGGCCAUACUUGGUAAGCCUAUCCACCACCACUAGUAUAGCAUUUCUGUGGCCUGAUGAAGGUCCUUUCCAUAAAAACCAUAGCUAUAUCCUGCCAUGGUAACUCAGGAAUUGGUAAUGGUUGCAAUAGAUUAGGUGUAUGUAUGUUUUCGGUCUUCACUCUUUGGCAAGUAUCACAUUCUGAAACCCAUUUAUAGAUAUCAUUCAUCAUAUUAGGCCAAUAAGAAAUCUUCCUCAUCCUUUUGUAAGUGCCCUACUGCCCAGAGUGUCCACCCAAGGAGGACUGGUGCAGUUCUUCAAAAAUCUUAGUCCUUAGAUCUGUCCCCUUGCUAAUGUAGAUCUUUUUAUCAUAUCUCAAGAUUCCUUGCACUAAAUCAUCAACUAAGGCUAUAGGAAACUUUUCCUUAAUAGUCAUACUAUUUAAAGCUCUAUAGUCAAUACAAAACCUCCAACUUCCAUCUUUUUUCUUAACUAAUAAAACAGGGUUGAAAUGGGAAUGACUUGCUUUAUAGUACCAUUGUUGAGAAUUUCACUCACAUGUUUCUCUAUUUCAUUUUUUUCAAAAAAGUUAUAUCUGUAAGGUCUGAUACUCAUAGGAUUUGCGUAUGAUUUCAGGGGAAUGUAAUGGUAAUGAGACCUCAUUGGAGGCAAGGAUGUUGGUUCUAGGAAGACAUCUGGAAACUACUUCAGCACCUUGUCAAUAGAUGCAGGUAUUAUACUUGAUUCUGUCACUUCUUCUGCUGAGAUAGUGAAUAAAUGAGACCUUAUGGCCUGACCUUUCUUAAGUAGUUGUCUCACUCCAUUGGUUAAACAGCUCUUUAGCUCUAUUUGAUUGUAAAUUCCUUUAAGUUCCACCCUCUUCCCCUUGUGAGUUACUUGCACAUUAUACUCCCCGAAGUCAAGUAGCACUUGAUUAUGUCUUUUCAUCCAAUCUCCCCCUAAUAUCAUGUCAUUGCCACCCAACCUAGUUAUUAUGACUGCAUUUUUAAACUCUACACCUUGUAUUUUCCACCUGAAUUUGUGGCAAGUGUGCAAACUCAUUAUGUAGUUUCCAUUUUCUACUUUCACUCUCAUGGGCACAACUUCUAAAAUAAGACAACCUAUUUUUCUGGCUGCUUCCAUAUCCAAAAAGUUGUGUGUGCUUCCUGAAUCUAGUAGAAUAGUUAGAGAAUCCUUUUUGGCUUCACCUCUCAAUUUGAUAGUGUUGAGAACUUCAGUGCAAGAUAGUACAUUUAGGCUUAUUACCUUAUCCACUACCUCUUCUUCUGGCAUUACCACCGUUUCUUCUGGCUGCAGGGCCAUUUCUAAGUCCUCCUCAGUAGUAGCUGAUAUAGCAUUUAACUGCCUAGGUUUAUAUUGAUGCCCAGGAUGAUACUUUUCUCCACACUAAUAACACAAACCUUGAGCCUUUCUGCUCUUAAAUAGUCUGUUAUUAGGAUAACUAGAACUCCCAUUUGCACCCAUUUGCACUCUUAGUAGGUUGGGAACAGUAACCUGUAGUUGGUCCAUUGUUCCAUUGUGAUUUUUCCAUCCUUAGUAAUAACUUACAAUAGGUUCUCCUUAUGCCUUGCUUUCUCUACAACGUUGUUGAAUGAAUAGGGAUCCAACAUUUUAACUGUAUGACUAAUUUCUCCUUUUAACCCUUCUAUGAAGAAAUCUAGGAAGAAUUCUUCUAGUAUAGUAGGAUUCCUUAUAAACACCCAAGCCUUGAGUUCUUCAAAUUUCUCCAAAUACUUAUCUAUUGAUCCUGUUUGUUCUAUUUGUUUGAAUUCCCUAAUUAGAUUUAAUUUGCUGUUAGAUGCACCCUCAAAUCUGCUACAGAUUUCAGUAGUAAAAUCUGACCAUCUAAUUACUCCUUUACUUAUGUGAUAGGAAAAGAACCAGGAUUUAGCCUUACCAUUGAGGUGAAGAACUGCCUCCUCAAGCUUUUGCUGCGGAUCAGUAAUGUGGUUAUGCCGGAAGAACCUUUUACAUUUACUCAAUCAUGCACAAGGAUAUGCUCCAUCAAAGUAAGGCAUUUCCACUCGUGAUUGAGACAAAUGGCCAUUGUUCCUUCCUCCCGAGUUAUCCAUGUUCUCCCCCACCCAUGGCUUGGUGAUUGCCCCAACAUUUGAUAGAUCCUCUAUUGGCGCGCUACCCAGAAG